rnacentral:rRNA from 1 species
AUAAGUGUAGUCUGCCCAGUGAGUAUCUUUAACGGCCGCAGUACUUUGACUGUGCUAAGGUAGCAAAAUAAAUAGGCCUUUAAUUGGGGUCGAGAAUGAAAGGCUUCAUGGUUUGACGCUGUCUCCUGCUAUUAACCCUUAAUUUACUUAGUAGGUGAAAAUUCCUACAUAUAUGUAUAAGACGAGAAGACCCUAAGAAUUUUUAAAUUAGCGUUACCAUAAGUGUGAAAUUUUUUGUUGGGGCGACAAUAUGGCAUUAAACCCAUAUUAAUAUUACAUAGCAUGACCGAACUAGGAAAUUAAUAGAGAAUAUAAUUACCUUAGGGAUAACAGCAUAAUUUUUUAUAAGAUUGUGACCUCGAUGUUGGACUAGGGACCUCUUAUAUUAACCGUAUAAGAGGUAAUUUCUGUU